UGUGUUACCGUGAAGCACUCUCUUUUAUAGGAUCUCCUCUAUCGACGAUCUCGGGCACUAGUGGAUUAUGAAAAUGCUAACAAAGCACUGGAUAAAGCUAGAGCGAAACACAAAGACGUUCUGCAGGCUGAAACGUCCCAGCAAUCAUGCUGUCAGAAAUUUGAGAAAAUAUCCGAAUCUGCAAAACAAGAACUUAUAGAUUUUAAGACAAGAAGAGUUGCUGCAUUCAGAAAAAAUUUAGUGGAACUGGCAGAGUUAGAACUGAAGCAUGCAAAGGGUAACCUCCAGUUGCUGCAGAACUGCCUGGCCGUGUUACAUGGAGACACAUAAGCCACACGCUCCACUUUCCGGUUACAAAGGGCUGCCUUCCUUCAGAUUUUAUUUUUGUUUUCUUCAUGACGUUAGGCAUUUACAGCUCACUGGAAACAAGGACACAGCUGACGAAGCGCAUCUCCUCUCCUUUUCUCUGAGCCGCAGCGGAGCGGCGCCGUCGCCGUCGCCGUCGCCGGGUGCGGCCAGUCUGCGGCGGGCCGCUGCGCUCCCGCACCCGCGUGCUGCCCGGGCGCUGGGCGCUCGGCGCGCGCUCCUCCCCUGCAAAGCCCAGAGGGCGGUCCUUGUUUUCAAGCGGCCUCUAUGACUGUGUUUAUUUUAUGAAUAGGAUUCCUUGUGGCUGCCAAUCUUCUCUGCCUUUAAGUAAUUUCUGAAGUUUAACCCUUUCAGAACACAUUGUUCAAACAAGAUAAAGAUUGCCGUUACCUUUUUCUUUUUGAAUUUUGUUUUUAAAAAGUAAUGUAUGCCACCUUAGUUCAUUCGUGUAUCCUGGAAAACAUCUUAAUCAGACUUAUUUUUAAUUAUGAACAUUUCUUAGAAGUUUUGGGACGGACUUUAUGUACUCUUUAUAAGUAUGAUUUGUGAAGAAAAGCAAAUGCAUUAGUAUGUUUGCCUUAAACUUGUAGACUAAACCAACUAUUGUCAAAUAAACAGUGAUAACAGUGA